UGCAUUUCUGUCGUCUUACGCUCCCUUCUCCCCAGUUACCUUGUCUGUUAUUUUUAAAUCCUGCUGAAGUAUAUACAACUCUACAAGCGGGUUCUCAAAUCCUUUUUUUGGAACAAGACUGAAGGAGUACUGCAUAAAUAAUCAUAUUGGAAUUUUCAGGAUAUUUCAAUGGUUUGUGGUGUCCAAAUAUGUGAAAUUGAGGCUGUUCCAGUAAAUCUGGAAUGAAUUGACACUCUAUGCACAGAGUACGGACCUGUGUGUACAGUAUGCAUAUGUACGCACACACACGCACACAUGAAUUCUUUUCUUGGUCCAGACAGUGGCACUGGCAGUAAAACUAUCAAUUCCAAACCGAAAGAGCCCACUCAGCACUGGCCUGGCUGCCCAGGAUCCUGCAGGGCAGAAGUUGGGGAACAGAUGGUGGUCUGAAUGGUGACCUUGGAUGGCUGGAGGCCGGCGCCUGUGAACAAGUGAUGAUGCUGCUGGCAAGUCUGGAACCAGGCUGCGAAGCGGCCUGUGCUUCCCCAUCAGAGAUCUUUGGUCCAAGCUCUUCUGCUGGUGAUUUCCUGGGUCCUGACUUGCAUUUUCUCCCCUCAUCCCCGCUCGUGGGGAGCCCUGAGCCAGCUGCCAAGGACCCCGGCCAAGCCUUCGGGUUCCAGUUCCUGAAGGGUGGAGAGGAUGUCAUCCUCCUGUGUAUGCAGUUUUGCAUCCUGUUGUCUUGGUUUCACUUAAGAUCGUCAACAUUUCACAUGUGCUGUAUGGUCACAAACGGUCACAUUUGUGGCAUCUUCCUUGUACUGGAAGAAAGGACCACCCUUAUCUCGGAGGAAAAGGGAUGCCAAGAAGGAUCUGAACAAGCAGGGCUUGCUAGGUCUCCCCCUGGUGGAGCACUCACCUCGUCUUCCUGCCCUCUGGUGUUCCCACACGGCAAACCCAGCAUCGAAAUCCUCAGGCCUGUUUCUUCGGGUCUUCAUUUCUCUAUGAAGGCUCCUGUGUCGUGUAAUAAAUUAUUAAUAAAUGUGCAUAGUUUU
rnacentral:lncRNA from 1 species